UACGGAAGGCAGCAGUGGGGAAUAUUGCACAAUGGGCGAAAGCCUGAUGCAGCUAUGCCGCGUGUAUGAAGAAGGCCUUAGGGUUGUAAAGUACUUUCAUCGGGGAGGAAAAAACAAAACUAAUAAUUUUAUUUCUUGACGUUACCCGAAAAAGAAGCACCGGCUAACUCCGUGCCAGCAGCCGCGGUAAUACGGAGGGUGCUAGCGUUAAUCAGAAUUACUGGGCGUAAAGAGCACGUAGGUGGUUUUUUUAAGUCAGAUGUGAAAUCCCUGGGCUUAACCUGGAACUGCAUUUUGAAACUGAAAUACUAGAGUAUCGUAGAGGGAGGUAGAAUUCUAGGUGUAGCGGUGAAAUGCGUAGAUAUCUGGAGGAAUACCUGUGGCGAAAGCGGCCUCCUAAACGAAUACUGACACUGAGGUGCGAAAGCGUGGGGAGCAAACGAGGGAUAGAUACCCGU
rnacentral:rRNA from 1 species